AGACAACACGAAGAUUCGCUUUAUACAUCGGGGUUUUACUUAUGGGGUCAUCCUGCCUAUGGUGGGGUGUCUCUGUAUCGACCCUGGGGAAAGUCCCCGGACAAGUUUGGCAGAAAGUGCCAGCCGUAAAGGUAAACAUGCAGGUCUACUUCGAUUUCAACCGACAAUUCGUUCUCUUUUGGCGUAGAAGUGUGGAUGCUUCUGUUUCUGAAAAUGGAAUUUGAGUGUGUUUGCACCGAGCCUGGUUCGUUUUGGUUAAGGUUGGGAUGUUGUGAAAUGCCAAUUGUCAUAGCAAAGUUAUGCGAAAUUAGUGCUUUGAUAGAUAGAGAGUUUCUCUCUGUUUCUCACGCUCUAACCUCAACGGGGCUUACUCUUGUGUUGUU
rnacentral:RNase_MRP_RNA from 1 species